UGCAGAUGGGAAUGAAUAUUUGCUGUCUUAACAGCAAUGCUGACACCCACCAAGAAUACUGAUGCA
ensembl:snoRNA SNORD24 Small nucleolar RNA SNORD24